rnacentral:rRNA from 1 species
GAUGCUCGAACGGACCUUGAUCUAUCGGGAUCUUGGUUAGUGGCGCACGGGUGCGUAACGCGUAUGCAACCUACCUUCCACUGGGGGAUAGCCCACCGAAAGGUGGAUUAAUACCGCAUAUGACCACGAGAGGGCAUCCGAUUGUGGUAAAAGCUGAGGCGGUGGAAGAUGGGCAUGCGUGCCAUUAGCUAGUUGGCGGGGUAAAGGCCCACCAAGGCGACGAUGGCUAGGGGUUCUGAGAGGAUGGUCCCCCACACUGGUACUGAGACACGGACCAGACUCCUACGGGAGGCAGCAGUAGGGAAUAUUGGGCAAUGGCCGAGAGGCUGACCCAGCCAUGCCGCGUGCAGGAAGAAGGCCUUCUGGGUUGUAAACUGCUUUUAUCUGGGAAGAAAACGCCCCUGCGGGGGUAACUGACGGUACCAGAUGAAUAAGCACCGGCUAACUCCGUGCCAGCAGCCGCGGUAAUACGGAGGGUGCAAGCGUUGUCCGGAUUUAUUGGGUUUAAAGGGUGCGUAGGCGGCCCGUUAAGUCAGCGGUGAAAUCCCAGGGCUCAACCCUGGAACUGCCGUUGAUACUGGCGGGCUUGAGUUCGGUCGAGGCGGGCGGAACUGGUGGUGUAGCGGUGAAAUGCAUAGAUACCACCAAGAACCCCGAUUGCGAAGGCAGCUCGCUGGCCCGAAACUGACGCUGAGGCACGAAAGCGUGGGGAGCGAACAGGAUUAGAUACCCUGGUAGUCCACGCCGUAAACGAUGAUCACUCGAUGUUUGCGAUACACGGCAAGCGUCCAAGCGAAAGCGUUAAGUGAUCCACCUGGGGAUACGCCCGCAAGGGUGAAACUCAAAGGAAUUGACGGGGGCCCGCACAAGCGGUGGAGAUGUGGUUUAAUUCGAUGAUACCGAGGAACCUUACCUAGGCUAAAUGCGCGUGACCGGUCCAGAAUGGACCUUCCCUUCGGGGCACAAACAAGUGUGCAUGGUGUCGUCAGCGUGCGUGAGGUUGGGUUAAGUCCCGCAACGAGCCA